rnacentral:rRNA from 1 species
UACGGGGGGAGCAAGCGUUGUUCGGAUUUACUGGGCGUAAAGGGCGCGUAGGCGGCGCAACAAGUCACUUGUGAAAUCUCCGGGCUUAACCCGGAGCGGUCAAGUGAUACUGUCGUGCUAGAGUGCGGAAGGGGCUACUGGAAUUCUCGGUGUAGCGGUGAAAUGCGUAGAUAUCGAGAGGAACACCUGGCGGCGAAGGCGGGUAGCUGGGCCGGCAUUGACGCUGAGGCGCGAAAGCCAGGGGAGCAAACGGG